rnacentral:rRNA from 1 species
UUCUGUUUGAUCCUGGCGGAGGCUACUGCUAUUGGGAUUCGAUUAAUCCCUGCGAGUUGAAUGAAUUUAGAUUCAUGGCGUACGGCUCAGUAACACGUGGAUAACUUACCCUUAGGACUGGGAUAACUCUGGGAAACUGGGGAUAAUACCGGAUAUUAGGCUAUGGCUGGAAUGCUUUGCCUUUGAAAUGUUUCUUGUAUUCGCCUAAGGAUAGAUCUGCGGCUGAUUAGGUCGUUGGUGGGGUAAUGGCCCACCAAGCCUAUGAUCGGUACGGGUUGUGAGAGCAAGAGCCCGGAGAUGGAACCUGAGACAAGGUUCCAGACCCUACGGGGUGCAGCAGGCGCGAAACCUCCGCAAUGUACGAAAGUGCGACGGGGGGAUCCCAAGUGUUAUUCUUAAUAGGAUAACUUUUCAUUAGUGUAAAAAGCUUUUAGAAUAAGAGCUGGGCAAGACCGGUGCCAGCCGCCGCGGUAACACCGGCAGCUCAAGUGGUAGCUGUUUUUAUUGAGCCUAAAGCGUUCGUAGCCGGUUUGAUAAGUCUUUGGUGAAAGCUUAUGGCUUAACUGUAAGAAUUGCUGAAGAUACUGUCAGACUUGAAGUCGGGAGAGGUUAGAGGUACUACCGGGGUAGGGGUGAA